rnacentral:tRNA from 1 species
ACCUGAGUGGCUCAGUCGGUUGAGCGUCUGAUUUCAGCUCAGGUCAUGAUCUCGCAGUCUGUGAGUUCGAGCCCCGCAUCAGGCU